rnacentral:tRNA from 1 species
GUGGCUGUAGCUCAGUUGGUUAGAGCGCCUGACUGUGGCUCAGGAGGCCGUGGGUUCGAUCCCCAUCAGCUACCCA